ensembl:snoRNA snoRNA:Or-ACA6 snoRNA:Orphan H/ACA box 6
AAAACUAACUGAACAAACUGAUAGAGGCGAGACGAGAAAGAUUUCGUGGGGAAAUACGGCGGGGUACGUACGAUCGCCACUCAGCCACAUAAUCUGCUUAAUGGAUCAUUAACAUUCGGGCCGAGCAGAGGCCUUAUA